UAGAAAUCCACUAUCUUCUAGUUCCAGAG
rnacentral:piRNA from 1 species